rnacentral:rRNA from 2 species
UUUAUGGAGAGUUUGAUCCUGGCUCAGGAUGAACGCUGGCGGCGUGCCUAAUACAUGCAAGUCGAGCGAACAGACAAGGAGCUUGCUCCUUUGACGUUAGCGGCGGACGGGUGAGUAACACGUGGGUAACCUACCUAUAAGACUGGGAUAACUUCGGGAAACCGGAGCUAAUACCGGAUAAUAUUUCGAACCGCAUGGUUCGAUAGUGAAAGAUGGUUUUGCUAUCACUUAUAGAUGGACCCGCGCCGUAUUAGCUAGUUGGUAAGGUAACGGCUUACCAAGGCGACGAUACGUAGCCGACCUGAGAGGGUGAUCGGCCACACUGGAACUGAGACACGGUCCAGACUCCUACGGGAGGCAGCAGUAGGGAAUCUUCCGCAAUGGGCGAAAGCCUGACGGAGCAACGCCGCGUGAGUGAUGAAGGUCUUCGGAUCGUAAAACUCUGUUAUUAGGGAAGAACAUACGUGUAAGUAACUGUGCACGUCUUGACGGUACCUAAUCAGAAAGCCACGGCUAACUACGUGCCAGCAGCCGCGGUAAUACGUAGGUGGCAAGCGUUAUCCGGAAUUAUUGGGCGUAAAGCGCGCGUAGGCGGUUUUUUAAGUCUGAUGUGAAAGCCCACGGCUCAACCGUGGAGGGUCAUUGGAAACUGGAAAACUUGAGUGCAGAAGAGGAAAGUGGAAUUCCAUGUGUAGCGGUGAAAUGCGCAGAGAUAUGGAGGAACACCAGUGGCGAAGGCGACUUUCUGGUCUGUAACUGACGCUGAUGUGCGAAAGCGUGGGGAUCAAACAGGAUUAGAUACCCUGGUAGUCCACGCCGUAAACGAUGAGUGCUAAGUGUUAGGGGGUUUCCGCCCCUUAGUGCUGCAGCUAACGCAUUAAGCACUCCGCCUGGGGAGUACGACCGCAAGGUUGAAACUCAAAGGAAUUGACGGGGACCCGCACAAGCGGUGGAGCAUGUGGUUUAAUUCGAAGCAACGCGAAGAACCUUACCAAAUCUUGACAUCCUUUGACAACUCUAGAGAUAGAGCCUUCCCCUUCGGGGGACAAAGUGACAGGUGGUGCAUGGUUGUCGUCAGCUCGUGUCGUGAGAUGUUGGGUUAAGUCCCGCAACGAGCGCAACCCUUAAGCUUAGUUGCCAUCAUUAAGUUGGGCACUCUAAGUUGACUGCCGGUGACAAACCGGAGGAAGGUGGGGAUGACGUCAAAUCAUCAUGCCCCUUAUGAUUUGGGCUACACACGUGCUACAAUGGACAAUACAAAGGGCAGCGAAACCGCGAGGUCAAGCAAAUCCCAUAAAGUUGUUCUCAGUUCGGAUUGUAGUCUGCAACUCGACUACAUGAAGCUGGAAUCGCUAGUAAUCGUAGAUCAGCAUGCUACGGUGAAUACGUUCCCGGGUCUUGUACACACCGCCCGUCACACCACGAGAGUUUGUAACACCCGAAGCCGGUGGAGUAACCAUUUGGAGCUAGCCGUCGAAGGUGGGACAAAUGAUUGGGGUGAAGUCGUAACAAGGUAGCCGUAUCGGAAGGUGCGGCUGGAUCACCUCCUUUCU